rnacentral:rRNA from 1 species
AGGACGAACGCUGGCGGCGUGCUUAACACAUGCAAGUCGAGCGGAAAGGCCCUUCGGGGUACUCGAGCGGCGAACGGGUGAGUAACACGUGAGUAAUCUGCCCAUCGCUUCAGGAUAGCCAUCGGAAACGGUGAUUAAUACUGAAUAUGACAUUCCUUCGCAUGUUGGGGUGUGGAAAGUUUUUUCGGCGGUGGAUGUGCUCGCGGCCUAUCAGCUUGUUGGUGGGGUAAUGGCCUACCAAGGCUUUGACGGGUAGCCGGCCUGAGAGGGUGACCGGCCACACUGGGACUGGAGACACGGCCCAGACU